rnacentral:rRNA from 1 species
AGAGUUUGAUCAUGGCUCAGAACGAACGCUGGCGGCAGGCCUAACACAUGCAAGUCGAACGCUGUAGCAAUACAGAGUGGCAGACGGGUGAGUAACACGUGGGAACGUACCCUUCGGUUCGGAAUAACACAGAGAAAUUUGUGCUAAUACCGAAUACGUCCGAGAGGAGAAAGAUUUAUCGCCGAAGGAUCGGCCCGCGUCUGAUUAGCUUGUUGGUGAGGUAACGGCCCACCAAGGCGACGAUCAGUAUCUGGUUUGAGAGGACGAUCAGACACACUGGAACUGAGACACGGUCCAGACUCCUACGGGAGGCAGCAGUGAGGAAUUUUCCGCAAUGGGCGAAAGCCUGACGGAGCAAUACCGCGUGAGGGAUGACGGCCUAUGGGUUGUAAACCUCUUUUUUCAGGGAGGAAUCAAUGACGUGUACCUGAAGAAUAAGCAUCGGCUAACUCCGUGCCAGCAGCCGCGGUAAGACGGGGGAUGCAAGUGUUAUCCGGAAUCACUGGGCGUAAAGCGUCUGUAGGUGGUUUAAUAAGUCAACUGUUAAAUCUUGAGGCUCAACCUCAAAAUCGCAGUCGAAACUAUUAGACUAGAGUAUAGUAGGGGUAAAGGGAAUUUCCAGUGGAGCGGUGAAAUGCGUAGAUAUUGGAAGGAACACCGAUGGCGAAGGC